rnacentral:rRNA from 1 species
AUUGAACGCUGGCGGCAGGCCUAACACAUGCAAGUCGAACGAGUGGCGGACGGGUGAGUAAUGUAUGGGAAACUGCCAGAUGGAGGGGGAUACAUACUGGAAACGGUAGCUAAUACCGCAUACCAUCGGAUGUGCCCAGAUGGGCUUCGCUUGUAGGUGAGGUAACGGCUCACCUAGGCGACGAUCCCUAGCUGGUCUGAGAGGAUGACCAGCAACCCUGGAACUGCAACACGGUCCAGACUCCUACGGGAGGCAGCGGUGGGGAAUAUUGCACAAUGGGCGCCAGCCUGAUGCAGCCAUGCCGCGUGUAUGAAGUAGGCCUUCGGGUUGUAAAGUACUUUCAGCGGUGAGGCGUUGCCCGCUGAAGGAGCACCGGCUAACUCCAUGCCAGCCGCCGCGGUAAUAC